rnacentral:rRNA from 1 species
GAAGGUGUGCUGUGAGGCAUGCUGGAGGUAUCAGAAGUGCGAAUGCUGACAUAAGUAACGAUAAAGCGGGUGAAAAGCCCGCUCGCCGGAAGACCAAGGGUUCCUGUCCAACGUUAAUCGGGGCAGGGUGAGUCGACCCCUAAGGCGAGGCCGAAAGGCGUAGUCGAUGGGAAACAGGUUAAUAUUCCUGUACUUGGUGUUACUGCGAAGGGGGGACGGAGAAGGCUAUGUUGGCCGGGCGACGGUUGUCCCGGUUUAAGCGUGUAGGCUGGUUUUCCAGGCAAAUCCGGAAAACCAAGGCUGAGGCGUGAUGACGAGGCACUACGGUGCUGAAGCGACAAAUGCCCUGCUUCCAGGAAAAGCCUCUAAGCAUCAGGUAACAUCAAAUCGUACCCCAAACCGACACAGGUGGUCAGGUAGAGAAUACCAAGGCGCUUGAGAGAACUCGGGUGAAGGAACUAGGCAAAAUGGUGCCGUAACUUCGGGAGAAGGCACGCUGAUAUGUAGGUGAAGCGACUUGCUCGUGGAGCUGAAAUCAGUCGAAGAUACCAGCUGGCUGCAACUGUUUAUUAAAAACACAGCACUGUGCAAACACGAAAGUGGACGUAUACGGUGUGACGCCUGCCCGGUGCCGGAAGGUUAAUUGAUGGGGUUAGCGGCAACGCGAAGCUCUUGAUCGAAGCCCCGGUAAACGGCGGCCGUAACUAUAACGGUCCUAAGGUAGCGAAAUUCCUUGUCGGGUAAGUUCCGACCUGCACGAAUGGCGUAAUGAUGGCCAGGCUGUCUCCACCCGAGACUCAGUGAAAUUGAACUCGCUGUGAAGAUGCAGUGUACCCGCGGCAAGACGGAAAGACCCCGUGAACCUUUACUAUAGCUUGACACUGAACAUUGAGCCUUGAUGUGUAGGAUAGGUGGGAGGCUUUGAAGUGUGGACGCCAGUCUGCAUGGAGCCGACCUUGAAAUACCACCCUUUAAUGUUUGAUGUUCUAACGUUGGCCCCUAAUCGGGGUUGCGGACAGUGUCUGGUGGGUAGUUUGACUGGGGCGGUCUCCUCCUAAAGAGUAACGGAGGAGCACGAAGGUUGGCUAAUCCUGGUCGGACAUCAGGAGGUUAGUGCAAUGGCAUAAGCCAGCUUGACUGCGAGCGUGACGGCGCGAGCAGGUGCGAAAGCAGGUCAUAGUGAUCCGGUGGUUCUGAAUGGAAGGGCCAUCGCUCAACGGAUAAAAGGUACUCCGGGGAUAACAGGCUGAUACCGCCCAAGAGUUCAUAUCGACGGCGGUGUUUGGCACCUCGAUGUCGGCUCAUCACAUCCUGGGGCUGAAGUAGGUCCCAAGGGUAUGGCUGUUCGCCAUUUAAAGUGGUACGCGAGCUGGGUUUAGAACGUCGUGAGACAGUUCGGUCCCUAUCUGCCGUGGGCGCUGGAGAACUGAGGGGGGCUGCUCCUAGUACGAGAGGACCGGAGUGGACGCAUCACUGGUGUUCGGGUUGUCAUGCCAAUGGCACUGCCCGGUAGCUAAAUGCGGAAGAGAUAAGUGCUGAAAGCAUCUAAGCACGAAACUUGCCCCGAGAUGAGUUCUCCCUGAGACUUAGAGUCUCCUGAAGGAACGUUGAAGACGACGACGUUGAUAGGCCGGGUGUGUAAGCGCAGCGAUGCGUUGAGCUAACCGGUACUAAUGAACCGUGAGGCUUAACCUU